UUGUAGCGCUGCUGUUUUUGUUUCACGCAGUUAAUAAACAGACAGAACUGCUUGUGUCUUGUGGAAGAACAUUGUAACCGGUGCUACCGCUCUCCGUUUAUGACUAUGGACGAGCCACCCAGGUCCUGUGCUGCUCCACAGCGGCGGCGACCCGCUGGACUAAAAUAGAGGAUGACACCAUUUGCUAAGGGAGAUGUUUACAUUUUCAUCCUUAACACAUACAUUUUUAACCACAAACUACUGAGUGUGUUUUGGACAUUAUUUACCCUUGUAAAAGAUGAACAAAAAUUUUAGAAUAACAACAUUUCUUACUCCAAGUUUUAGUGGUGCUGAGCUCCUUUUUAGGGGUGCUGAAGGCGAAGCAAUCCUAAAAAGGGGCUAGCGCCCAUGGCUAAAAGUAACUUUUUUGUUACUUUUUUAAAGAACAUACUUUAAUAUUCCCAUUAAUGCCCUGAAAUGCGUUGGUCAGUGGUGUAGUUGGGGCCAUACGCACGUAUACGCAGUAUGCUUACUUUUUCCACAGGGCUGUUUGCGCAUAACGACUUCUAUGGCUUAAUAUUAGCGUAUACCCGCCGGUAUACCCGCUUGUUUUGCUGCUGAAAACGUCCAUAAUUUACCCUCAUCUUUUCUUCCCCUUUAACUGCAUCGCAUUUUUUUAACUCCCAAAACUUCGUUGUAAUUGGUUAAUUUUUAUUUGAAUCCCCCCUCCCUCCCCCGACAGAUGUCGUGUACCAACUUCACCGAGCGUUUACAGGGAGGAGAGUUUACUUCAUCAACAGAAGCUGGUGUCAUGCUUAAGCAGACUUAAUAAUGUAGAGAAGCAGCUACAACACAAUUCUCCUCAAAAUCAGCUUUCCGUUGGACAAAAUACACAAAUCUCUACGUGCAGCCGACUGACAGACAGGGGACCAUCUGCAAAGUGCAAAACCCGAAAAGCGAAUACUAAAAAACAGUCAAUAACUUCACUGUAAUACACUGUACUGUCACCAGCUCACACAUCACUGAUAGUUAUAC